GUCUCUUCCCAUCUUCUCCUUCAAUUCCAUUGCUCUUCCCAGCAUUAUAUAUUUCCCUCCCAUGUCCCGUUCGCAUCCAAACCCCAAACCAUCUUUCGGACUUCUAUGAAUAUGUACAGCAGAUCCACCUCUUCGCUGCCCGUGAUUGCAAAGACCCAUCUGACUUCCCCAGCCGCCGCCACAUGGGAUUUGACGGUGAGCAGUUGCGAUGACCCCUGCCACCACCGGAUUCAGUGGACGACGAGUUGCGCCAACCCCUUCUACAAUCAAGGAACAAUGCAAGAUCUGAUCCUAAAUUUGUGGGCUGUUGUGGAACCGUGAGCAUCUGCUGUUCAUAAGGUGACAGAUCAUGUUAGUGUUUUUUUCCAAGAUGUUGUCCUAAGUCUCUGUUGACGCCUAGGCAGUAGAUAAUUGGAUUAACUUUUGGUGUGUUAUCCCUUAAUUGUUACUUGAGAGGAUGUAGAAAAUGUAUGCAUGUGCAGCCCUAAUUUCUCCGUGCAUUAAAUUAAAAAGAUACAAGCUACUACCGUUGAUUUUGGCUAUACGUGCCCUCUAUGUCUCUGUCAAUCUUUUUCAUAGAUGUUGAUGUAUACACAAGACACUAAUAAUCUCGCUCCUUCGUUAAAGCUGUACUGAAGUCAUUGUCUUCCUUCAUGAUUCCAGUGAACAGAUCAUAAGCAUCAUGCUAGGUGGUAAACAAAAUAACUCAAGCAAUUUCAAAGAUAUGUGAACUCUGAUAUUUUUUUUCUUCUUCUAAUUUUCGUUUUCUUACCAAAGAUUACUUCCCACACACGCAACAAUGUGAAGGUAUAUGCAAGUGUACAUUUGUACUGCUAAUCAUGAUGGCUCGCUUCCUUUCUUUGCUGAAAUUUCACAAAAGUUUCUCUAUACUUCCCUUUGUAAGUUUUCUGUCUAGAUUUCAGAUAAAGAGCAUCUACUAUAUAUGGAUGCAUAAAUAGACUAUUCUACAGUUUUAUCUUUCAUAUGGUUGAUGGCAGAAAAUGGAAACUAAGAACAGUAUUCCACAAAUUAUGAACUUUUUUGUGGUGAUAUAAUUAUGAACAUUAUGGUCUCUUAAGAAAAUGAAUUAACUUUGUUGAACAUUACAUUGUUAUUGCUCAUUUUAUUUCUUAGUCACCCUGAAGAGGCCCUGGUGUCACAAGUUAACCCUAAUUUCAAAAACAUAUUAGUGUACACCCGA